rnacentral:piRNA from 1 species
UCAGAGUGGCUGUUAUGUGUGCCAAACUGU